UACGUAGGGACCAAGCGUUGUUCGGAUUUACUGGGCGUAAAGGGCGCGUAGGCGGUGCGGUAAGUCACUUGUGAAAUCUCUGAGCUUAACUCAGAACGGCCAAGUGAUACUGCAGUACUAGAGUGCGGAAGGGGCACUCGGAAUUCUUGGUGUAGCGGUGAAAUGCGUAGAUAUCAAGAGGAACACCUGAGGUGAAGACGGGUUGCUGGGCCGACACUGACGCUGAUGCGCGAAAGCCAGGGGAGCAAACGGG
rnacentral:rRNA from 1 species